rnacentral:rRNA from 1 species
CAUUUAGAGGAAGUAAAAGUCAUAACAAGGUUUCUGUAGGUGAACCUGCAGAAGGAUCAUUAGUGAAUCUUUAUUGCCGUACUUCUCUUUGAGAGGUCGGCUCUAAUCCCAUCAUCUAUUAUCCAAACACAAGACUACGGAGGGUUGGCUGCGUUGGUGGCCUCCUGCUCCGGAUUGGUUCUGGGUCAGAUCAUUAACACUGGCUGGCCUGGUUCCUACAACCUUUUCAACUCAUGAAUCAUAGAAUGUUAAACCCAUUGUCUUCGGACAUGAAACUAAAUACAACUUUUGACAACGGAUCUCUUGGUUCUCCCAUCGAUGAAGAACGCAGCGAAAUGCGAUAAGUAAUGUGAAUUGCAGAAUUCAGUGAAUCAUCGAAUCUUUGAACGCACCUUGCGCCCUUGGGUAUUCUCAAGGGCAUGCCUGUUUGAGUGUCAUAACAUGUUCAGCUCUCAGCCUUUUUGAAAGAGAAGGUUGCUUGGAGUUGGUGAUGGACGUUUUUUGCCAGACCUUACCGUCUUGCUCGUCUUAAAUCGAUCAGUGGAAUCAUCUUUUGAGUCCGGUCUGACUAUGUGUGAUAAUUUGAUCACAUAGAAUGUGGGCUUGCCUACAACCGCAUCUUGAAGGACUCUGCUUCCAACACGGAAUGGUCUUCGACCAUCGUUAGCCUUUUAAUGCUUGACCUCAAAUCAGUAGGACUACCCGCUGAACUUAAGCAUAUCAAUA